GUACUUUUCGGAUAUUCCAUAAAAUUGGAACGAUACAUAGAAGAUCAAUAUGACUCCUGCGCAAAGGAUGACACGCAUCAAUCGAGAUAUGGUUCAACAUUUU
rfam:Capsicum annuum cultivar Zunla-1 chromosome 11, whole genome shotgun sequence